UUGAUUUAAAGAUGUGCUGGCACUCCCUCACAGGUUUGCAUGUGCACUCUAAAAUCUCCUUCUCUUACCCCACUGUGCACACUCCAGUAGGCAAGCAAGUUCACAGAGCACCUGUGAAAUCUCAUUUGCCUAUGUUUUUAUCAAACACCAAUAACAUGUCAGAAUGAUCUAUGUAGUAAGCUUUUGACAAGCUGAAAUCUAAUA
rnacentral:misc_RNA from 1 species